rnacentral:rRNA from 1 species
UACGGAGGGGCUAGCGUUGUUCGGAAUUACUGGGCGUAAAGCGCACGUAGGCGGCUUUGCAAGUCAGAGGUGAAAAGCCCGGGGCUCAACCCCGGAAUUGCCUUUGAGACUGCAUCGCUAGAAUUGUGGAGAGGUAAGUGGAAUUCCGAGUGUAGAGGUGAAAUUCGUAGAUAUUGGAAAGAACACCAGUGGCGAAGGCGACUUAACUGGACACAUAUUGACGCUGAGGUGCGAAAGCGUGGGGAGCAAACAGG